UUUAUAUGUUUCCCUAGGAUAUUCUCUUUAAACAACAGCAUUUCUAGGCUGCAUUUUCCAGAUGUGCUCCACUUAGGUACCUGAAGUUCCACAAUCUGAAAAGUUGAAAUAAAAAGCUGAAGACUGCUCGUAUAGACAUUAUUUUUACCCGUUAGUCACUGUUUUUUCCACAUUAAUCACAGGGUAAAGAUAUCGGGCUUCAAUUCAGAUUAUGACAAUAUCUAAUGUCUUUUCCACAUACAAUUUCAAAUUAGGAGAAGACUUCCUCUCUUGUUUUCACGGGAAUUUUGUGAAUUUCAGUAUGUAUAUUUUUCCAGCUGUAAUACAUUAUUUGCAAUUGAAAAUUGCUAGUUGAAAUAUCAUCUUUCCUAUGGAACAACUGGUAAUAGUAAAUCUUAGAAAUGUAAGCUUAUUUCAAGCACUCAGGUUAGACAGUCUAUGCACAAAAUGGGUCCUGUAAUGACCUGGCAUCAUUCCCUAUAGGUGUCAGCAUCUGGAUGUGGGCUUGGUUACUCAUAGAAAUCUGCUGCUACAAAGCUGAUGGGCAGCAGGUAGUGGGUUACAUCUUUAGUCUAAGGUCAUUUGAGGUAAACCUUUCCUCUGUAAAUCUGUCUUCUGAGAGAAAAGAGUCUUGUUGAAGAAGUCACCUUGUUUGUUUCCUUGGGAGGAAUAGAAUAAAAGCACCUACUGCUUCAUUCACAUGGAUGACUUACUAUCCUCAGGCCCCAAAUUGCAGCUGAGGAUUCAGCGAAUAACAUAAAAUAAUGCACUAUAUGAUACACUGUAUACUAUCUACAUCUACAUGCAUUACCUUUCCUGUUACGGAAGAAGGUAGUUAUAGACCUGCAACAAGUAACCUAACAAAAAUAAGUACUCUAAAUUUGUAUUAGGCAUUUUCCUACUCUGGAGACUCUAAAAGCACUAGAUUUGUGACAUUUGUUGUCUCCUGCACUUCCUUCAUGAGGAUUGCUCAUUCUCCAACUACUCCAGUCCCAUAGCAGUAAUCCAGCUGAACUGUCUGCCCUUGCCCAAAGGCCCUGGCUGGGCUGGCAAAGAAGUGGAAGAUGUUUCCUCCUGUUUACCAGUAUGCUGAAGAUAGAGGACAGGCUUGAUUUAUCCAGGAGGAUUAGUAUGGGGCUUUGGUAGAUUGCUCCGGAGGACUGCGCUUUGCUCUGGGUCACAACUGUCUAUUUGUUUGUAUCCAAAAGAAUGGCUGCUCUCGGACGUGCACUGCCUGCCUCUGAAAGGCAAAAAAACUUUAUGAAGUUGAGGGCCUCAAAGGUAGGGUUUCUUCUCGACACUAAAACAUUCUCAACAAAAGACGCACUGACAAACUCUACUGCCAAAGGUAAGAAAAAUAAUGUCAGAUUUCCUAUUUUAUGGCCAUUUCAGCACACAAACACUUUCCAUCUACGACUUCUCCAGAUGGCAAAUAUUUUUUGCGCAUUCAGCAUAGCAUGUAUGUGCAGCGUGUGUGUGUGUGUGUGUGUGUGUGUGUAUACACAGCAGUUUUUAUUCUUGUUGGCAAUGUUUCUAACUGCUCAAGCUUCGUAUUUGCAAAGCAUACACAGCAUCCUAAUGCUCUCCUGUUUAUUCCUGAAGUUUUGCUGACUACAGGUACAAAAAUAUCACAGAAAACUCCUGAUGGAAUUCUGUUGUAACUUUCUGUAGCUGCUACACACAACAUCAAUUUUGUCACUGAAGAACCAUUUAUGAUGAACACUGCAAUUCUACCAGUUGUUCUUGGCUGCUACUACCCAUCAUUUCAUACAGAUCUGGUUACACACGCACAAAAAAGUCAUCAAUGUAUUGGAAGAAGACUAAGAGAGAGACUGUUUCUGUUUAUGCAGAACUUCUGGAGAUGCAAUACAGGUGAUGCUCCAUUUCAUAAGAGUUUUCCAUGAAUCCAAGUUAGCAGUACAGCUCUGUGCAGCAAAGCCCUUACCGGUGGUUGUGACGUGGAAGUCCAAACAGCACCAGAACUAUCAAAUUUGUCCCUGGAAGAUUAGCAAAAUGUAUCCCCCAUAUUAGCCAGCUCAGGCAACAUGUUGGAGAGUCUGACUGAGAAAUACAUAUAUAAAAUGGUACAUGUUCUACAGAUAUUUCAGAAAUCAUGUCUUUAGGUGAGCUCUUAAGAAGUUCACUGAGUGUGAAACUUAAGGCCCGGAGAAGGUUUUGUUUAAGCAAUAUUUAAUUGUGCUCUCAUAUCUGGACAUAUACGACAUUACUAAUUCUUUUUCCUUCAGAAGCCUUCAAAACAGCAAGACCCAUGAUCCAAUAAACUCACUUGAAAUUUCUGGCAAUAUCAUGGUUAGUGACUCUGCUUCUGAUACCUUCUCUAAUAGCUUCUCACUUAGCUUGCUGUAAAGCCUAUGAACUGGCUUUGGUGAGGUGUGGAAAAAAAAGCUCAUAAUACACUUAACCAACAGCAAAGUUUCAUGGGGGAAAAACCGUUUGUUGUCUUACUUCCUUCCACCCACAGCUUUUUGAGGUGAAAUUGUGAGUUGGAAGUAGAGGAUCCAAUGAAACUCAAGACAGAGGCUUUUAUUCACAGCUUGGUGGUACAAAGAUCAGGCUUGGCCCUCUUGGCCUACAUAGGGAAUGUGGAGUCUGGAAAGCAGCAGGUCUUCAUAGGUGCUGAACAGCAUAAGAUGAGGGAAAGGCUGGGAGCUAUGGCAAGCUCAAAUUUAAAAGAUUACUGUGCCUCCACUUUAUUGGCAUUGUCUGCCCCAGGAAGGUAGUGGAUGAGGACAAACGUUUGCACAUUCAUUCCUCACUGCAAAGUGUUUUGUAUUCGUAUUCUGUGCCUGGAGCUCUCUCAUACUCAAGAUUAAAAUGCUGCUGACUCUCCUUUUCUGAUGUUUUUUUCUGCUUGGCCUCUUAAAAACACUGGUUAAAAGGGCUUUCUUCCAGGUCACAUAGGUUAGUUUCUAUUUUAAGAAAAAUGAUUGCAGGAUGAUCUCAAGUUCCAAGUCUCCAAUAAAGCCCUAUUUGGUUCCCACAGUUAGUCCUGCAGAGCUGAGAGGAUCUCUCAGUCAUGCAUCACAGUAUUGCAUAAGUCACGGAAUCAUCACAGAAUCAUAGAAUGACCUGAAUUGAAAGGAAAGUUAAAGAUCAUCUGUUUCCAAUCCCCUGCAAUGGGCAGAGACACAUCCCACUUGGCUACGUUCAAAAUCCCAUCCAACAUGUCCUUGCACAUUUCCAGGGAUGGGGCAUCCACAGUUUCUCUGGACAGCUUAUUGCCACUCCUCAACACCCUCAGUGUUCAUGGGAGUCAACGACACUAGCAGGCAUUUAAACUUCAUCCAAGCCCUCAUACUGAAUGAGAGAGAUUGCUAACCAAUCAAAAUGUCUUUUGACGUGUACAAGUAUUUAUUUGGCUAAAAACUAUCUUGACAAAGAUUUUCUAUCUUCACAAAUAAUUUAAGCUUUAACUUUUAGUCUUACUAGUACCAUUUUAUUUUAUUCUUUUUAAUUUUUGAGUACUAAUCUUUUUGAAACAAGAAUUUGGUUAUUCCCAGGGUUUACAAGGUCCCUGGCUGGGUAUAAAAUUUUUAGAGUGACAGAGGCAGAAAGGCAUUUGGAUUUCUUUGAUAACAUGUGUUCACUUACAGCGUUUUUUGUGUCUAUUAAUGAAAGGGACAUGUGCCAGUUUAGAUAACUGAGGUAGCUCAAACAGGCUGAGGUUAAUGUAGCCAUACAUUACAUGCAAACAUACAACUCAACUGAAUUGAUAACUAGAUCUUCUAUAGAAAUUCCAUGAUUUUUGAAGUUUAUGAUUCUGCUUAAUUAUAAAACAUAUAUCAAAUAAAUAUUAGAUCACUGUAUUUCUAAGUGCUGCUAAGUAGAUCAGAAAAGAGUGAGAGAGAAAAAGUAAUAAAGCUUCUCUUCACUAAAUUUCAGUAUUUUCUGUGUUCCAUAUGUAACUGAAUACAAUUCCUUCUUCCUCGAUAACUAGAGAAUUACAAAUAGAAUCAAAUUCCUGGAACUCUGGUGUAAUGACAUGUCGGAAGAAGGGAGUUCAGAGACCUGCCUUUGUGUGAAAUGUGAAUUUGAAAUGUUUCAGCGGGUGUGGGAAGAAUACAGAUAUGAAGUUGAUUUUCAGAUCUUUUGCAGACCAACAGUGAUGUAGGUUCAAGAUAUCCUGGGUAUACAGCACUUUAUGAUAACUGCAGUGGUUUGUGCAGACUAAAAGUAAUAUCUAGGAAAACACAGUCCUCUCUACCUGGAAGAAAUGUCUAGGUGUCAAAAAAAGAUAUGGGUGAGUGAAUCCAAAUAUGCAUCUACCUGAUAUAGAGAGUUGUAUGUAACAUACCAGCAAACCUUUGGUUUUAAUUUUCAUGCAGACCUGCUCAGGAACUGAACUCUUGUCACUAUCUAUCUUGAAAGCAUGGCUCUGCUAGGGAAAAUUGUUUGACAAAAUCCAUCUCAGUGAUGUGCAAACACUUUUUUUUCAUAGCUUUUUGCACACUGUUCCUUCUUUGUGUCAAUAUGUCCAAAUUGCUUUUGCAGACUUUCUUGACUUCUUCUGCAUCACAUAGUCUUUGCAAGGGAUCCCAGAGUAAGUUUACUCCUGGUUUGGAAGUAAGAAUUAAAAUGUAGACAUGCAGCCUCCCUUCCAGUUAUGCUGCCUUCCCAAUGGAUUCCACUGUGCUUCAUGCUUCGUUUCUUGUCCUACAUGUCCACAGAGAAUAGGAACAUGAGCAGAUGACAUAUGUUACUUGUUUUGCUGAAGGUCUGCUCUUGCCAGCUGUGAGAUUUAAUGGGGGUUCCCUAGGUGACUUCAGAGGGGCAAGUUGGAUUUCAGAGUGAAAACUGUGAUUAUUAAUGCCUUGCUUUUACCCACAGCGCAUCAUUGUACAACUCACUGUCACUGCAGCAAGAUGAGUCCGGGAGGAAAAGACCAAGUCCCUCAAGCAUUAGCAUGCACUGUGCCACCUCCUAACAUUUUCAGUUAUCUUCUUGAAGUCCGCAUUACUUCUUCAAAUUAGCUGCAACAUAUCUACAAUGAGCGUUAAGCUGCAAUUUUGGCCCUGGCCAUCCUGACCAGAGUGGCUCAAAAAAUGUACACUAAAUAAUGAUGAUGAAGAUGUGACUCAUCCUUGCAGACACCUACAUAAGAGCCCAGGAUAGUCAGACACAGCAGUUUCUUGUCACUUUGCCCCUGAGAGCAGUGUUAGAAGAUGGCACAGGAUCUCUGGUUCUCUGGCUGGAAGCAAACAGGAAGGGCUGGAUCGAUGGAGGUAAUUACAGGGAAUGACAGCAAGUUUGUGAUUUUGUCUGACAAAGGGAUAAAUUUGAUUUCCUUUCUCCUUUAUGCACAUUUGUUGGUUACUAUUUUGGCUUCAGCCCUGCUUUUCUGUUCCUUCCUUUCAUUUGUUCAUUCUACAUUUUCUUCUUUGCUGAUUUGGUAUUCUGUGACUAACCAUCUCUGACUUUGUUUUUAGGCAUUAACAGCUUGGGCCUGAUUUUGAAAGGACAUCUACAAGCCUGAAUAUAUUUGGUAAUGUUUUCAAAAGUGUUAGAUAGUUUGAAAAAUCACCUGAGGCUCUGACAGUCUUCAGUCACCCAAAUCCUAGGGGAAAUUUGGCCUUUUUAUGACAAAUUACAUGCAAAGAUAAAGCACUGUGUUAGUCUUCACUAAAUUAUAAGAUAAAUAACAUGCUUUGGAAAAAAUAGGAACUUCAAUUUUUUCACCAUCGACCUCUAUUCUUGAUUAAAGUGUACAAAGUCAGCCUUCAGGCAAGGCUACCCUCAUUACUCAGUUCAGUGGCAAAGCAGCAGACUAUUUAACAAUAAUCUGCCUUCUCUCAUGCUAAUAUUUAUCUAAUUUAGGGCAGAAAGCAAAGGAGAAAAGGAUUCUGCUUGAUUCCACAUGAAUGUAGAGCUAGGUUGAAAUAGUGCAGGUGUUAUACUGGAAAGGAAUUGAGUUUGCUUGUCUUUUAUGGGAAUUAAAUGAUCAGUAAUAAACUGCACAUUGGGUAAGACAUUCUGAAUGUAUGCAGGUAUCAGGAGAGUGUAUUAUAACCGGAAAUGUGUUCCAACUACAAGUACAGUAACCACAGGUAGAAAUCCAUGUUCCAGUUCAGGACUUCUCCUGGAGGUUUCUGCCUUGCUGUGCAGCAUGCAGCUGUGCUGCAUGCUGAGGCUGGGUAUUGGACUUCGAGGUAGUUGAAAUAGAUUGAGAUAAAUAUAUGCCACUGAAAUUUUACAAAUGUUUAUCCUGACAUGCUAUAAGCCUUAAGUAAGUAGUACUCGCUUACACGAGCGAUGAUUCACGUUGUGCAGAAUCUUAAUUUCUGCUUCACACAGAUGGUUCCUCUUUUGCUAUGCUGCAGAUUUUUAAAUUUCAUUUUACUUUCCUUUUUGAGUGAAUUUGAACUUCUUUGUUUGCUGGAAUAAAAGUCUAGUUUCAAUUCUUAUGAUACCUUGCUCUCCCCACCUUCAGGCUGAAUUUAUGUACCUAGCUAUUACACAUCAUCACAACACCUCCAUAGAACUGCUUGAGUACAACCAUAACCACCUUCAGCCCUACUUAGGCAGCUCUAAUGAUACCUGAGUACAUGUAUUAAUGUUUGUAUAAUUAGAGAUGA